rnacentral:misc_RNA from 1 species
GCUUGCACUGUCUACUGCCGCGCAGACUCAGCCUACCUCUGUGCCGGGUGCGAUGCCAGCGUACAUGCUGCCAACCGCGUGGCCUCCCGGCAUGAGCGCGUGUGGGUGUGUGAGGCGUGUGACCGUGCUCCGGCUGCCUUUCUAUGCAAGGCGGAUGCAGCUUCUCUCUGCACUGCCUGUGACGCUGAUAUCCAUUCGGCGAACCCAUUGGCUCGUCGCCACCAACGUGUCCCAAUUCUUCCGAUUUCCGGCUGCGUGUACGGUCCCCAGGUAGCGCCUGCUGCUGGUGAGACGACUGAAGAUAUGUUAACGACCCAGGAGGGAGAAGAGGGAGUUGGUGAUGAGGAGGAAGAUGAAGCAGCCAUGAAGCUGCU